rnacentral:rRNA from 1 species
UACGGAGGGUGCAAGCGUUAUCCGGAUUCACUGGGUUUAAAGGGUGCGUAGGCGGCCAUGUAAGUGAGGUGUGAAAUCCCUCGGCUCAACCGAGGAACUGCGCUUCAUACUGCAUGGCUUGAGGGAGACAGGGGUAAGCGGAACUGAUGGUGGAGCGGUGAAAUGCGUUGAUAUCAUCAGGAACACCGGUGGCGAAAGCGGCUUACUGGGUCUCUUCUGACGCUGAGGUACGAAAGCUAGGGUAGCGAACGGG